rnacentral:rRNA from 1 species
UACGUAGGGGGCUAGCGUUGUCCGGAAUCAUUGGGCGUAAAGAGCGUGUAGGCGGUCCGGUAAGUCCGCUGUGAAAGUCGGGGGCUCAACCCUCGAAUGCCGGUGGAUACUGUCGGGCUAGAGUGCGGAAGAGGCGAGUGGAAUUCCUGGUGUAGCGGUGAAAUGCGCAGAUAUCAGGAGGAACACCGGUGGCGAAGGCGGCAUCCUGGACCAAUAUUGACGCUGAGGAGCGAAAGCCAGGGGAGCAAACGGG